rnacentral:rRNA from 3 species
AACCGACACAGGUGGUCAGGUAGAGAAUACCAAGGCGCUUGAGAGAACUCGGGUGAAGGAACUAGGCAAAAUGGUGCCGUAACUUCGGGAGAAGGCACGCUGACAUGUAGGUGAAGUGAUUUACUCAUGGAGCUGAAGUCAGUCGAAGAUACCAGCUGGCUGCAACUGUUUAUUAAAAACACAGCACUGUGCAAACACGAAAGUGGACGUAUACGGUGUGACGCCUGCCCGGUGCCGGAAGGUUAAUUGAUGGGG